rnacentral:rRNA from 1 species
CCAGACUCCUACGGGAGGCAGCAGUGGGGGAUAUUGCACAAUGGGGGAAACCCUGAUGCAGCGACGCCGCGUGAGUGAAGAAGUAUUUCGGUAUGUAAAGCUCUAUCGGCAGGGAAGAAAAAGCGCGCGAGCGCCCUUGACAGUACCUGACUAAGAAGCCCCGGCUAACUACGUGCCAGCAGCCGCGGGAAUACGUAGGGGGCAAGCGUUAUCCGGAUUUACUGGGUGUAAAGGGAGCGUAGGCGGCCAUGCAAGUCAGAAGUGAAAACCCGGGGCUCAACCCUGGGAGUGCUUUUGAAACUGUGCGGCUAGAGUGUCGGAGGGGUAAGUGGAAUUCCUAGUGUAGCGGUGAAAUGCGUAGAUAUUAGGAGGAACACCAGUGGCGAAGGCGGCCUGCUGGGCUUUUACUGACGCUGAGGCUCGAAAGUGUGGGGAGCAAACAGGAUUAGAUACCCCUGUAAA